AGAGUAUACCGUACUGUACUAAUUUAAAUAUAGAGGGGGUGGGGGUCUCGGUGUGUAUUUGUAUACAAGUACUUGUUAAUGUGCACAUAUUUAAAAGGUUUUCCUUUUCAACCCUGUAAUCAGUGUACAAUUUUUUGACCGAGAGCAAGAAACACCUACGAGGCCCAAGGCGCGCCAUGGACGAAUGCAGCAAACAAUUCGGCAAAACUAAUCCGCACGUAUUUACCAACAUACCCAGCCAUUAUUGAUUGUGUGAUGAAGUAUACCACCUUGUUUGCGGAAAGCGUUUCAGCUUUGAAUUUACUGUUUCCAUACUGUGUAAACGGGGCCUGUGAUGGUUACUGUUAGUGUACUGCGCUGCAAAAAACCUUUCGAAACAAAUGUACGAUUCAGAAAAGUAUAGUUGCUCUGCGGCCCGGUAUAUAUAAUAUUGUUGUUGUUGUUGUUGUUGUUGUUUUUUGCAAAGCUGCUUUGUAUAGGUAGAGCAGGUUUUUUUUUCCCAGGUCGUGAAACAUCCCAAACGCAGGGAAUAGAGGUAACAGAUGUUUGUUUGUUUUUUGACGAAUGCUCACGAUGAAUCUCAUCCAGCUAUAUGUAAUGAAAUGCGCGGUCUCUCAGCAGAAUACAGAGAAAAGUGCAAAAAUGAAUUUGUACAGAUUCAUUUUUGACUCCGACUUACCACAUAGGAGAUAAAGCUGAGGGGAGACGAGGAGUCACCACUUUCGACGCCAGACGACUGAUUCGGUCCAGUACGGCUGUAGCAGCCCAGUUUAAUCCCAGUUCCUACAGACAAUCAGCCGGCGCUCGGCUGCCUUGUCGUCCUGUGCGUUACCUACAGAUACAGGUGUCUAUUGUGCAUGUAAUUAAAAUCAUCCUUAACCGGAACAAUGGGACAGGAGACGGACACAGGAGCGCUGUGGGAAGAGCUCUGGAGCAGCCGAAGACGGAGCACGCCGUUAAGCCCCAGGUAACGGCUGUGGCUGGCUGCACACGAGAGCUCUGCCUCGGCGGACCACACGGCCACCCCGAGGUCCUCAAAUGCAAUGAAAAGCCUUUUAGGACUGGCCUGGAAGAAUACCCACCGCCUGCUUCUAAACAGCGUCUUACUUAUUCAUCCAGCAAGGAACCAACCCCAAACCGCCCAAGUAUUCCGGUGCCAUCUGAGAAAUGAUUUCCACAAUUCACAGUUCACCAAGGUUAGCUUCUGCACCGAAAGACACUGAAUUCCGUGCGACUCGUUUUUAUGCCAAUAAAAUAUUGAACUAAAAGGCUUAGGCUUCCCGUUCUCUACCAAGAAAACAAUUUCCAGCCCAGGGUGGGAAGGUUUUGUACAAAAUACCAGUCUUCGGCUGUAUUUUGUUAAAAGUUCAACUUAUAACUUAUAAAUUUACAAAUCCUAAUUUUUAAAAUUAAUCAUAAACGUUUUCAUUUGCCUUUCCCUGUUAACACUGAUAUUGAAUCUUCACUGAUUACGGACUGCCAUACUCAUAUUUAUACAUACAUAUUUAUUUGCAUAGGUUUAUUUAGAACCCUCUGCUGUAGUGCCAUCAUGAAUCACAAUCUAAUCUGGGGUUCCUGAAUCACAGAAACUCCUUCUUUAUGACAUCCCAGGCUUGUUCCUCCAUCCAACCUCAGCACAGCCCCAGGUAAAUACAUACCAGGCCACUUCACCCCUUCCUGCAACAUGUCAUUUCCAGGAAGUACGUCAUUUCCUGUUUCAGUCACAAGUAGGUGCAUUCUAGGAAAACAAAAUUCCUCCUUGUUUCUACAUGGGUGUGAAAUUCCAAUAUUUUCAGUCAAUAGUAAAAACACCAGAGGCUGUAGGUUUUGCAGCACAUUGUGGAUUCUCCAACAGCCAAGUCCCAAUACUCUGCUCCACAAUAUUCUGCGUUUUUCCUUACCUGUGCUUUAUGUUUUGCAGGCAGAGAAUUAAGAGCAAUGAAAAUCAAAAUGUUAAAAUGUUGUGCUGUUACCCAUGUUUCGGCACACAAGCCCACCUUCUUGAAUCUUAAUCUCUUACAGCCCAGCAUGAUUUUAGUUUUCCUACUGAUUACUGCAGGUCACUGUCACAAAAUAAUUAAGCCUACAUGUCUUUCUUAAAAGACAAAUCUGUACACAAAGUUCCCAAGCAAAGGCCUUAUACUCAACACAGCUAUUUAUCUUCCUUUAAUGCCUGUUAAGCUCUUGGCCUGUCUUAAGUAUUUGGCUGUUCCAGCCUGGCUCUUGACAGGAGUCUCUGCAAUUGUGAUUCAAUUACAUUUCGUAAGCUGGCAACAGCAGUGCUACGUUUAAUCAAUGUAGUUCUUUUAGUCUUCCUAGAUGAGCUGGAGCUAAAAUACUGAACAUAAAGCAACGACACCCUAAAUAACAGAUAGAAUAAGGAGAACAAAGGUAUUACCUGUAUGCACGACCCCAAUGAUGUAUGCAUAUCCCUUAUAUAAGUUUGAAAUAGUAAAUUAGUAGAAUAAACAUUGCAUUCUACCAUGUUUCUACUGCACUCUUCAUUUACUUUGCUUUGCAGUGGUUCCUCUAGUUACCUAUCUGCCCAAUACUUUUUCCAUACAUUUUGCUGUCCUUUUACCACAGUAAAUGUUCAUAAAAGACGCAGUGACUCAAAGAAAAACAGAGCCACUCUUCUUAGUACAGGUGAUAAAACUCUCUUUCUUUAAUGGACUGUGAAAUGAAGAAUGAUUUUGCAGUUUUUUGGGGAAAGUGGAA
ensembl:lincRNA